AAAUGUUACUAAGUUCUCCUUACAUUGAAUCAUUGUUUCAAUUGAAACUUUUUUCCGGUACUACGUAUUUCUUUUUUCCAUCAAUCUGUUCAAGUUCUUAUCUCCAAGUAUUCCAUGUCAAAUUUGGCUAUUUAAAUGUAAAUGAAUUAAUUUCAAAAUUUAUUCUUUUUUUAAUUACUUUCCCGAAGACAUUCGUCAAAGGCCCGAGGAAAGUCUGCAUCUUUCAAGUGCCCAAAAUGAAUACAAAUUGAAUCAAUUAGGCGGAAUCCGCCUCCAAAUGAAUGUCAGAGAUAAAAUUGGGGGCUUAAGGAAAUGGAGUAAAAACGCAGACAACACUUGCAAGCCGUAACGGAAGCGAUAGCGAAACUUUGCUGCACCACCCACAUUCGCCAACCAGAUUCACCGCCCAUCGCCUGACUCCUUGCCUUUUGCAUAGAUAGCGGAAGUGCCUGGCCCUGUUUUUGGGCUCGCCCUCCCUAUUGCAUAUGAAGCCAAUUUUAUCGAUUCGCUGCAGUUCGCACUUUGCCUACAUUUGGGCCGGGUGGAGGACAGUCUUCUCCCCCCACUUUCAGAUUCCACCAACGCAAUGUCAUUGUCCCCGGGCGACUAUUUACUCUUUGAAACCGAAAAGACCCUAUCCUCAAUCAUAUUAUAUUUUCAAAAGGGCAUUGAACUAGAGUUAAAGAAACUAACACCAGAAAAUUAAGUGAAAUUUUAA